AUUGAACGCUGGCGGUAGGCCUAACACAUGCAAGUCGAACGAGUGGCGGACGGGUGAGUAAUGUCUGGGAAACUGCCUGAUGGAGGGGGAUAACUACUGGAAACGGUAGCUAAUACCGCAUACCAUCAGAUGUGCCCAGAUGGGAUUAGCUAGUUGGUGGGGUAACGGCUCACCAAGGCGACGAUCCCUAUCUGGUCUGAGAGGAUGACCAGCCACACUGGAACUGAGAACCGGUCCAGACGCCUACGGGAGGCAGCAUUGGGAAAUAUUGCACGAUGGGCGCAAGCCUGAUGCAGCCAUGCCGCGUGUAUGAAGAAGGCCUGCGGGUUGUAAAGUACUUUCAGCGGGGAGGCGUUACCCGCAGAAGAAGCACCGGCUAAAUCAGUGCCAGCAGCCGCGGUAAUAC
rnacentral:rRNA from 1 species